GGCAAGAUGGCCGAGCGGUUAUGGCGCUGUGUUCAGGCGAUAUCUGGUUUCGCAGUGGAGCAAUCCUCGUGGGUUCGAGUCCCACUCUUGUCA